UAGCAAGCUUCUAGCAUGCUUGGGUCUGCGUGGCCCGUGCAUUCCUACAGAACUUGCCAGAACAGUCUUGAAACAGUGUGAGACCUUGUCCUGCUUUAUCCAGAGCAAGAUUAUAGCAAUUCCAGACAAUU